rnacentral:rRNA from 1 species
UACAUGCAAGUCGAGCGAACAGAAGGGAGCUUGCUCCCAGAUGUUAGCGGCGGACGGGUGAGUAACACGUGGGUAACCUGCCUGUAAGACUGGGAUAACUCCGGGAAACCGGAGCUAAUACCGGAUAGUUCCUUGAACCGCAUGGUUCAAGGAUGAAAGACGGUUUCGGCUGUCACUUACAGAUGGACCCGCGGCGCAUUAGCUAGUUGGUGGGGUAAUGGCUCACCAAGGCGACGAUGCGUAGCCGACCUGAGAGGGUGAUCGGCCACACUGGGACUGAGACACGGCCCAGACUCCUACGGGAGGCAGCAGUAGGGAAUCUUCCGCAAUGGACGAAAGUCUGACGGAGCAACGCCGCGUGAGUGAUGAAGGUUUUCGGAUCGUAAAGCUCUGUUGUUAGGGAAGAACAAGUGCGAGAGUAACUGCUCGCACCUUGACGGUACCUAACCAGAAAGCCACGGCUAACUACGUGCCAGCAGCCGCGGUAAUACGUAGGUGGCAAGCGUUGUCCGGAAUUAUUGGGCGUAAAGGGCUCGCAGGCGGUUUCUUAAGUCUGAUGUGAAAGCCCCCGGCUCAACCGGGGAGGGUCAUUGGAAACUGGGAAACUUGAGUGCAGAAGAGGAGAGUGGAAUUCCACGUGUAGCGGUGAAAUGCGUAGAGAUGUGGAGGAACACCAGUGGCGAAGGCGACUCUCUGGUCUGUAACUGACGCUGAGGAGCGAAAGCGUGGGGAGCGAACAGGAUUAGAUACCCUGGUAGUCCACGCCGUAAACGAUGAGUGCUAAGUGUUAGGGGGUUUCCGCCCCUUAGUGCUGCAGCUAACGCAUUAAGCACUCCGCCUGGGGAGUACGGUCGCAAGACUGAAACUC